rnacentral:rRNA from 2 species
GGCCUUAGCGCGGUGGUCCCACCUGACCCCAUGCCGAACUCAGAAGUGAAACGCCGUAGCGCCGAUGGUAGUGUGGGGUUUCCCCAUGCGAGAGUAGGGAACUGCCAGGC